GCCGUCUUGGCGUAGUGGUAGCGCGUCAGUCUCGUAAACUGAAGGCCGCCAGUUCGAUCCUGGCAGACGGCA